rnacentral:tRNA from 1 species
AGGCAAUUAGUUAAGAAAAACCUUUGAUUUCGGCUCAAAAACUUGUGGUUAAAGUCCAUAAUUACCUA